rfam:Hafnia alvei FB1, complete genome.
UUUGGCAUUGGCUUUGCGCGCCAUAAUGCCAUUUCCCACCGCGUGCAAAAGGUGAGUUUUACCUAAACCGGUGCCGCCAUA